CCUACGGGAGGCAGCAGUGGGGAAUAUUGCGCAAUGGGCGAAAGCCUGACGCAGCAACGCCGCGUGAGGGAUGAAGGCCUUCGGGUUGUAAACCUCUUUCAGCAGGGAAGAAGCGAAAGUGACGGUACCUGCACAAGAAGCACCGGCUAACUACGUGCCAGCAGCCGCGGUAAUACGUAGGGUGCAAGCGUUGUCCGGAUUUAUUGGGCGUAAAGAGCUCGUAGGCGGUUAGUCACGUCGGAUGUGAAAACCCGAGGCUUAACCUCGGGCCUGCAUUCGAUACGGGCUGACUAGAGUGUUGUAGGGGAGACUGGAACUCCUGGUGUAGCGGUGAAAUGCGCAGAUAUCAGGAAGAACACCGGUGGCGAAGGCGGGUCUCUGGGCAACUACUGACGCUGAGGAGCGAAAGCGUGGGGAGCAAACAGGAUUAGAUACCCUGGUAGUCCACGCCGUAAACGGUGGGCGCUAGGUGUGGGGGACGAUUCCACGUUCUCUGCGCCGCAGCUACGCAUAGCGCCCGCCGUCGGGAGGUACGGCCGACCGAACGGACGUAAACCUACAACGGAAGUUAGACGGCGUGAGACGUACGACCGACGGACGACGACCGAGGGGAGGUAGG
rnacentral:rRNA from 1 species